rnacentral:tRNA from 1 species
CGAGAGGGGCUCGAUAGCAAGAAAAGCUGCUAACUUUUCCACACUCCGGUUUAACCCCGGGGCCCACUCGU